AUUGAACGCUGGCGGCAGGCCUAACACAUGCAAGUCGAACGGUAACAUCAUGAAGCUUGCUUCUUUGCUGCUGAGAGGCGGAGGGGUGGGUGGUGUCUGGCCAACUGCCUGAUGUAGGGGGAUAACUAGUAGAAACGUUAGCUAAAAUCGCAUAUCCUCCCUAGCACAAAGAGCGGGAUCUCCUGGCAUCUUGCCCGCUGAUGUGCCCCGAUGGCAUUAGCUAGUAGGUGGGGUAUAGGCUCACCUAGGGGACGAUGCCUAGCUGAUCUGAGAGGAUGACCGGCCACACUGGAACUGAGACACGGCCCAGACUCCUACGGGAGGCAGCAGUGGGGAAUAUUGCACAAUGGGCGAAAGUCUGAUCGAGCAACGCCGCGUGAAUGAAGAAGGCCUUCGGAUUGUAAAACUCUGUCAUUGGGGAAGAAGAAAGUAAAGUUUAUCUGAUCGCCCACUGACGGUACCUAAAGAAGAAGCACCGGCUAACUCCGUG
rnacentral:rRNA from 1 species